GACGAACGCUGGCGGCGUGCCUAAUACAUGCAAGUAGAACGCUGAAGGAGGAGCUUGCUUCUCUGGAUGAGUUGCGAACGGGUGAGUAACGCGUAGGUAACCUGCCUGGUAGCGGGGGAUAACUAUUGGAAACGAUAGCUAAUACCGCAUAAGAUUGACUAUUGCAUGAUAGUCAGUUAAAAGGUGCAAUUGCAUCACUACCAGAUGGACCUGCGUUGUAUUAGCUAGUUGGUGGGGUAACGGCUCACCAAGGCGACGAUACAUAGCCGACCUGAGAGGGUGAUCGGCCACACUGGGACUGAGACACGGCCCAGACUCCUACGGGAGGCAGCAGUAGGGAAUCUUCGGCAAUGGACGGAAGUCUGACCGAGCAACGCCGCGUGAGUGAAGAAGGUUUUUGGAUCGUAAAGCUCUGUUGUAGGAGAAGAACGAGUGUGAGAGUGGAAAGUUCACACUGUGACGGUAUCUUACCAGAAAGGGACGGCUAACUACGUG
rnacentral:rRNA from 1 species